GAAAUGCGAUAAGUAAUGUGAAUUGCAGAAUUCAGUGAAUCAUCGAAUCUUUGAACGCACCUUGCGCCUUCUGGUAUUCCGGAAGGCAUGCCUGUUUGAGUGUCAUGAACACCUCACCCCCUCGGGUUUCCGAUUGGGUGGAUUUGGGCGCUGCCAGUCACAUGGCUCGCCUUAAAAGCAUUAGCGGUUGUUGACUUAAUAAGUUUCGUCUUGUCGACCGCUUCUAAUCUCCUUAGGGAUGUCUUCGGACACUUCAUGAUCUGACCUCAAAUCAGGUAGGACUACCCGCUGAACUUAA
rnacentral:misc_RNA from 1 species